GACGAACGCUGGCGGCGUGCCUAAUACAUGCAAGUCGAACGCUUCUUUCCUCCCGAGUGCUUGCACUCAAUUGGAAAGAGGAGUGGCGGACGGGUGAGUAACACGUGGGUAACCUACCCAUCAGAGGGGGAUGACACUUGGAAACAGGUGCUAAUACCGCAUAACAGUUUAUGCCGCAUGGCAUAAGAGUGAAAGGCGCUUUCGGGUGUCGCUGAUGGAUGGACCCGCGGUGCAUUAGCUAGUUGGUGAGGUAACGGCUCACCAAGGCCACGAUGCAUAGCCGACCUGAGAGGGUGAUCGGCCACACUGGGACUGAGACACGGCCCAGACUCCUACGGGAGGCAGCAGUAGGGAAUCUUCGGCAAUGGACGAAAGUCUGACCGAGCAACGCCGCGUGAGUGAAGAAGGUGUUCGGAUCGUAAAACUCUGUUGUUAGAGAAGAACAAGGACGUUAGUAACUGAACGUCCCCUGACGGUAUCUAACCAGAAAGCCACGGCUAACUACGUG
rnacentral:rRNA from 1 species